rfam:Pan troglodytes isolate Yerkes chimp pedigree #C0471 (Clint) chromosome 17, whole genome shotgun sequence.
GCCAGGUGUGGUGGUGCACACCUGUAGUCCCAGCUACUUAGGGGGCUGAGGCAGGAGGAUCGCUUGAAUCCGGGAGGUUGAGCCUGCAGUGAGCCGAGAUGGCAACACUGCACUCCAGCCUGGGUGACAAAGUGAGACCCUGUCUCAA